GAUGAAGAACGCAGUGAAAUGCGAUAAGUAGUGUGAAUUGCAGAAUUCAGUGAAUCAUCGAAUCUUUGAACGCACAUUGCGCCCCUUGGUAUCCCGAGGGGCGUGCCUGUUCGAGCGUCAUUUCACCACUCAAGCCUGGCUUGGUGUUGGGCGACGUCCUCUUUGGGGACGCGCCUCGAAACGCUCGGCGGCGUGGCACCGGCUUUAAGCGUAGCAGAAUCUUUCGCUUUGGAAGUCGGGGCCCCGUCUGCCGGAAGACCUGCUCGCAAGGUUGACCUCGGAUCAGGCAGGGAUACCCGCUGAACUUAAGCAUAUCAAUAAGCGGAGGA
rnacentral:misc_RNA from 1 species